GUGGGGAAUUUUCCACAAUGGGCGAAAGCCUGAUGGAGCAAUGCCGCAUGGAGGUGGAAGGCCUACGGGUCGUAAACUUCUUUUCUCGGAGAAGAAACAAUGAUGGUAUCUGAGGAAUAAGCAUCGGCUAACUCUGUGCCAGCAGCCGCAGUAAGACAGAGGAUGCAAGCGUUAUCCGGAAUGAUUGGGCGUAAAGUGUCUGUAGGUGGCUUCUCAAGUCCGCUGUCAAAUCCCAGGGCUCAACCCUGGACAGGUGGUGGAAACUACCAAGCUGGAGUACGGUGGGGGCAGAGGGAAUUUCCAGUGGAGCGGUGAAAUGCAUUGAGAUCGGAAAGAACACCAACGACGAAAGCACUCUGUUGGGCCGACACUGACACUGAGAGACGAAAGCUAGGGGAGCAAAUAG
rnacentral:rRNA from 1 species